CAGAUAGCGUGGGUUUAUUUGAUUUUUCUUGGCAUCCCCAAGAGAGAAACUUACGUCAUCAUGAGCUAUUCUCAAAAAUGGCAGGCGGUGCUGGUUAUCCUUGCUGUCCACAUUGGAAUAAUGAUCGUAUUCUUUUAUUGCAAUACACAAUUAUGGGCAUUUUUCAUCUCUGCGACGGUUCUUCUCGUCCUUUUUCAAGAUUACAAGGAAGUGAAUAGAUCGUCCUCCAAGCAGUAGACGCCACAGUGAAAGCGGAAAAUUGAUUUUCUUCGUUUUACUUUCUCGUCUCAUUUUCUUCUCAGUAGGUUCUUGACUUUUUUUUUCCUACUUUUUCUGUUCCUUGUAUCUUCAUUUCUGUGGAAUACACAAAUUCUCUUGCAUACACUCUAAUCGGAAGGCCUAAUAAAUACGUUCGGCUAAAAAAGUUCAUAAUAUCCAAAAUGAGAAUCGCAUUUAUUUAAGAUACAGAACUUGGUACACUCAUCCUUAAUUCCACAUUGUUAAACAAAUAAACUCCACUCAACAAUGAAGUAGGCAUGUCGGCAAAGCAUGGAAUUUAUGUAACUGAAUUAUUAGAAGAGUAAUGUCAGGUUACAAUUGCAGAGGUCCGCUCACUUUGUGAGGCAAAUACUUGAGGAAAAAUGAUGUGUCAAUGAAGAACCAGCUUGAAAAUAAUCAUUCCAGGUUUUCCCUUGAUGUUAUUAAAAUGCUCAUACUGUUUACAUUAAUGGAUGAUGAGCCCAUACAAAGUAUUAUGAAAUAAUAUCCAGGUACUGAUAGAGCAGUAAUUAAUUUAUUAAGAAAAAGAUGGCACAUUUUCUUUUUGGGGAAUGAACAUUGGUACUAAUUUCAUAACUGAGAGAGACAGUAAAUGAAAUAUAAACUCGAUGAAUCUGCAGCAUGUUCACCUUCGUUUAAUAACACUUUGGUCCAUUGGAAUGCAGACGAAACACUUGAGACUUGAACUGGAUGAAUUUAAAGUCGCCAAAAAUGUGGCAUAUUUUUUUCUUUUUCUAGUUGCGGGAAAACCAUUGUGCAAUGUGAGACGGAGAGACCUCAUUACCUUGGUAUAUAAUUUUUUGUAUACUACACUUUUCUAAAGAAAUAUUGUAACUUGAAAUUGUUGUGAUAAUUCGCUGAAGACCAAUCGUAGAAAGUAGAUACAGAGCACGAAAGAAUAAGAGAUUUAAAGUACUAUGAA